GACGAACGCUGGCGGCGUGCUUAAUACAUGCAAGUCGAACGGAAAGGCCCUGCUUUUGUGGGGUGCUCGAGUGGCGAACGGGUGAGUAACACGUGAGUAACCUGCCCUUGACUUUGGGAUAACUUCAGGAAACUGGGGCUAAUACCGGAUAGGAGCUCCUGCUGCAUGGUGGGGGUUGGAAAGUUUCGGCGGUUGGGGAUGGACUCGCGGCUUAUCAGCUUGUUGGUGGGGUAGUGGCUUACCAAGGCUUUGACGGGUAGCCGGCCUGAGAGGGUGACCGGCCACAUUGGGACUGAGAUACGGCCCAGACGCCUACGGGAGGCAGCAGUGGGGAAUAUUGCACAAUGGGCGGAAGCCUGAUGCAGCAACGCCGCGUGCGGGAUGACGGCCUUCGGGUUGUAAACCGCUUUCGCCUGUGACGAAGCGUGAGUGACGGUAAUGGGUAAAGAAGCACCGGCUAACUACGUG
rnacentral:rRNA from 1 species